ensembl:ncRNA F11D5.34 ncRNA
ACAUUAAAUGACACACAUUCACAGAUUUCGAAGAAAAAGAAAAAACUGUUAAGAUUCAUUACCCAUUGUUCGAAAAAAAGGGGAACGUGGUGGAUGAGAUGGAAAGGUGGAUAAAAAUUGUGAAGUAAAAUCAUAGAAAAUAAAUUAUAUAGUUUUUCGAUUAGUCUUGCACCAUCAUUGCUCAACUUGCACGGUUCAUAUUACCUAGACUAUCAAUUUUGUGAU